rnacentral:tRNA from 1 species
GACGUCGUGGCGGAGUGGUUAACGCGUCAGACUCGAAUCAAGCAUAUAAGCUAUCUGAUCUCUUCGGAGGCACAGGUUCGAAUCCUGUCGGCGUCG